UUGAUUGAUAAUUGUUGGGUUAUCAUAUGUGCUUAAGGCCUUUAUCGUUUAACUCAUUCUGUAACUAAUGUUUGUCUUUAUUGAUAUGGGGACGUACAGUAAUGACAUGAACUGGUGAGUAAUUUCUUGAUUUUGCAAUACCACCUAAGGAUAGGGGUAGGACGAUCAAUUGCGCUAACUUCUGUUUAUAAUGCAGUAUUAAUUGCUAGGGGAAGCUAGGGAUAGCAAGCCAGUAGUUAAUAUUAGGCCCUUUUCGUCGAGGGAUCAGGUUAAGGGGAGGCUAAGAAAGUCACAUAACAAUUAAUUAAUCAAACUAAUAGUCAAGAGGAGUAGAUAAGAGAGGGUGGAUUAGAUGAAAUUGUGAACCCCCAACAAUAUCCAUUCAUCCAUUGUUUUCGUUUGUCAAUUGAAUCACCUUUAUUUUGCAUGUUAAUAUUUNUGUUCUCAAAUCCAAUUUAUUAAUUUUUAUUUUCAAGUCUUAUUAUUUUAAUUCACGUGAAUGAGAAAGCCUUUUGAGUCUCUUGGGAAAACGAUACUUGGUCUUACCAUUUAUAUUACUUGUACGAUUUGGUACACUUGCCAAUUUGUCAACAAGUUUUUGGCAUCGUUGCCGGGGACUCGAGGUUUAUUUUUCUAGUAGUGUGGAUUGGUUGAGUUUGACUUGAUUUUAUGUUUAUUUUUAUUUUUUUUCUCAUAAAUGUUUUCUAGGCUUUUGUGCUUAAGUUUUGUAGAAUGCAGUCUGAUCAAGAAUUUGAUUAUAUGGGCACUCAAU
rnacentral:lncRNA from 1 species